GUGCUCACUUCAGCAGCACUUAUACUAAUAUUAGAAUGAUACCAAGAAAGUUAGCAUGGCCCAUGUGCAAGGAUGACAUGCAAAUUCAUGAAGAGUUCCAUUUUUUU
rnacentral:snRNA from 1 species